CCCUUAGAUGUUCUGGGCGGCCCGCGCACUACAAUGGCGUGUGCAGCGAGUGCCGAAGUAGAGUUUUCCGAGGUAUUCUUGCAAUGCUCGUUUUGAUGGGGAUAGACCCUUGCAACUGUUGGUUUUGAACGAGGAAUUCCUUGUAAGCAUGGUUUAUCAUCCGACGCUGAAUGCGUCCCUGCCCUUUGUACACACCGCCCGUCGCUCCUACCGAUGAGUCGUCCGGUGAAGUUCGUAGACCUCGUGAUCGCGGAUCACUGGGGGAAGCAAAAUGAACCUCGCGGUUUAGAGGAAGGAGAAGUCGUAAC
rnacentral:rRNA from 1 species